rnacentral:piRNA from 2 species
UGAAUAAUUACUUUGGGGGUCUUAAC